GUAAGGCCAAUGAGGAGACCAUAAGGCAUGGGGGGAGGUAUCCAGAGUUCGUCAUCUCAUGUGUUAAUAGAAUUCAAGUGAUAUAGGACUCUGAAGUAGCAGAGAAGGAAGGUGUGUCAGAGAAUCAAUGGGAACAAUGCAUUUCAAAGAACUGCAGUUACUGUAAAAUCCAGACUAACACGGCUACCCCUCUGAUAUUUGUCUUCAAAGAGCACCAUGUCAAGUGGACCAUCCACGAGGACCUGAAUCUUCCCUACCCUUUGAGCUGAUGUUAUAGCUACAAAAGAACAUUUUUAUGGAUAGAUGGUCAAGACUCUGGAAGCAGUCAAUAGUCAUCUGCGUGGAUCGGAUGGCUUCUUCGCGGGUGUGCAACUUCAGCAGGCAAUCAUCCAGGUGUGUGGAUGCCCAGAGACCUCAGUGUAGCAUGUGAGUCUUUCAUGGUGUGCAGCAGUUCAUUAGUUUUGGCUGCAAACAGCUUCUCGCCAUUGAAAGGAAGAUUUUCUAUGGUGUUCUGUAUCUCCUGUGGGAAUGAGGAGGAGCUCAACCAUGAGGCUCGACGCAUGACCAUGG